UCCCCAAUCACGGUCAACUAGUGGAGUAUUUGGAGGGCGAAGGGGUUUUCGAAUUUCGAUGGCUUCGCUCGCGGUUUUUCCCUGGAUUGAGCGAAAUGGAGGGCGUCGAUUACAAGGAGGAUCUGGUGAAUCUGCACAAAGAAAAGGUUAGGGAUUAUUUGGAGGGCGUGAUUGUGGUUGAUUACGUGGUUCCAUCGUCGUAGCCUGCCUGACAGUCUUUGACGACGAUCAAGCUCUCUUUGAGCUAUGCGAUGCAGACAAGCUUUAGCAUUGGAAAGUGAAAGUGAGGGACUAAGGAUGUGUAAGGAACAUGCAGAUGGAGGUAAGGGGAAAGGGCGGACUUUUAGGUGAUAGGUUACAUGGAUUCCUCCAAGUCAAAGCCAACUACAGUGGAACUUUGAUGGGUCAUAGGGGGGAGUGUUGAGGAAUGAAAAUGGAUCUCUUACAUGUAUUUUCUUCUGCAACAAUGGCAUUUCUGUAUCAAAUGAAGCUGAACUAAUGCCAUUAGGAGAGCCUUGGAGCAAUCAGCAUCAUCACCUUCAAUCUCACAGUCACGGCAAAUAUUAUACUAGAGACAGACUGCCUGUUUGGCAGAGCGGAUCCGUUGGUGGAGCCGUUGUGUGGAUCCGCUUUGUUAAACGGUAGAGCAUGCAUAGUGGAUCCGUUGCUGUUUGUUGGCAUCAAAUACGUUCCACAUAGGAGUUUAUUUGAUGCCGACGCUCAACUUUUUGACAUUUUUUUUUUCAAAUUUUUAUUGUGGACCCCAUAGUAUCAUUAUGUCUUUCACCUUUUACCUAAGAUAAAAUGUGAGCCUCAAAGUUUUAAUAA